rnacentral:pre_miRNA from 1 species
AUGGUGGUUUAAGGAAACAAGGAGGAAGGUUUAGGGCUUUUUAUUGGCAAAUAUGGAAGGUUUAUCUCAACUGAUGGCUUCAUGCUUCUCCACGGCUUUCUUGAACUUAGUUUGAAUAAGGUGAGCCUUCUUACAAGAUCAAGAAAGCUGCGGAAAAACAUAGAUCCACUCAAAAUUAUGAACUUUCAACAGAGAGAUAGAUCUCCAAGGUAAGUUAUCUAGCCAUUGU